GGCGUGUUGGCGGAGUGGUUAUCGCGUUAGACUUGAAAUCUAAUUCCUUCGGGAGCGUCUGUUCGAAUCAGGCACACGUCG